rnacentral:hammerhead_ribozyme from 1 species
AGUUGGCUGAAGAGUCUCAGGUAGGACGAAAUGCGCAUCCUGGAU